UACAGAGGGUGCAAGCGUUAAUCGGAAUUACUGGGCGUAAAGCGUGCGUAGACGGUUACAUAAGUCGGGUGUGAAAGCCCCGGGCUCAACCUGGGAAUUGCAUUCGAGACUGCGUAGCUAGGGUGCGGAAGAGGGAAGUGGAAUUCCCGGUGUAGUGGUGAAAUGCGUAGAUAUCGGGAGGAACACCAGUGGCGAAGGCGGCUUUCUGGCCUGUUCUUGACGCUGAGGCGCGAAAGCUAGGGUAGCAAACGGG
rnacentral:rRNA from 1 species